CGAGGCCGGGUGACGGCGGUAUGGGUGGCAAAGGAAAGCGGCAGCUGGUUGUUAAGAGUGCAGGAGGGGCGUCCCUGCCACCCUCUCGCCGCCCUUCUCCCAGCUCGGUCAGUAAGGUUUUAAAAUCCGCCCGCAUUUGAAAGCAAAUGAGUAAAAGCUACGAGAACCUCAAUAAGGGACGGGGAAGCCUGCAGCGCAGCGUCUGCCCGCGCUCCUCGGGGUGCCCGGGAGGUGCGGGACCCCGGCAACGGGGACAGCCCCGCUCGGUGCCGGCACUUCGAGGCGCAGAGUCGCGGGACAGCCGCGGGUCCGCACACACACGGGGUACGCGGAGGCUCCGUACGUGCGCGGGGCAUCAUCUGCUCGUGCGUUACCAAGGAGUUCACUUGUUUUAAAUAAACCGGUCCGUCUGGAUGCUACAGUAAAAAAAAAGGCACAAAUCACAGAGAUACAAAGAGAAAGCUCCCAACUUGAAGAACGAUGCCACCGCUAAGCUCUUGUGGCUUUUCCCCACCUGUCAGGGUGAAUGUGCUACCACUCUCCAAGGACCGGGGAUAAGCAAUAGGAUGCACCAUAAAUACGGCGGAGUUGGAGGCUAUUAUUUGCACGGGCUCCGUGUAACCACAUGAAAACAUGAAGUAAGAAUACGUAUUGAAUUUAUUGACGCGCAUAUACAGGGGGGAAAAAAAAUACCCCUUUCUGUUAUUUCUCCGUGCAGCUUAGGAGUGUUAAGCAGUGUUGAAAUUGGGACAACUGGAAAACAGUGUUCAUAACGGCGAGCAAAAACACAGUAAUGGUUAAAAGGACAGAAAGGUCAGCGGCACCCAAAACAUCACAAACACCGCGCACUUGUUGGAUGCAGGGGGUAUUUAUUUGGAUGGCUGCUCAUUCGGUUUCUUCGUAAUAAACACUGUUUUUAUAGCAAAGCAGUUGUUGCUUCUUGUCAUACAACAAUCGCUGUCCGAACAGGAGUUUGCCCCCUUCUGUCAGGUAUACUGAUCUUGUUCUCUUGCUGUUAAUGCAGCGAUUUGGAGCUGAAAACACACAUUUUUUUUUUUCUUUUCUUUUAUUCUAUACGCUCCUCAUACAUGCAUUUCAACUCCCUUGCAGGAAGAAGCCUGGUUUGCACUUAUUUUGUUCAUUUGGGUUUGUUUAGCCGCAGAUCUGUGGCCGCGGAGGGCACUGUACGUGAGGAUGCCGUCGGUCGCGAAGAUCGCGGUGGUGGGGCAUUAUUCCCCGCAGCGCUUUCGCCAACGUGUGCGGAUGUCCCUGCAAAGUGGCAGGGGAGCUUUCCAGACCUACAUCUAUGGAGCUGGAAACUCCUGUUAGCGUUUCGGCACCUCACACCAUAGCUGUGCGUACACCAAAACACGUCCGUCAUUGUAAUGCCAAGGGUGCUGGUUUUCAGAGCCUGAAUUACUGUAAUUCAGUCUUUAGUAGGCAUAAUUUGACAGAAGCGUUUGAGGCUUUUCUCUCUCUCUCUCUCUCUCUCUCUCUAUCCCAACUACUUUGCAUUGUUCCCUCUUAGCGUUUUGUUUAUUUAUUUAUUUAUUUUCCCCUGCUCCUACGUUGAGCUUCUUGUUGAGCUUUUAGCUCAAAAUACAGAAACGUGUUUUUUUCUUUCAAAGGGCACAGCGGUGGCAGUGGUGUCAGCUGAAGUUCUCAGACAACGAGGGAAAUAUUUGGAAGCACUUUAACAAGUAUGCAUUUGCUGAAGCAGCAGCAGCAGGGCAGAACUGCAGCUGGGAAGGGACAGCAGGGAUAUUUAAACAAUAUUAAAAUCGGACCCGGAUUUUUGUAUUGAUCAUGAGGUGCACGUGGAGUUCCCAAAAAUCUGCCCAGCAAGCGGUGAAGAAAUAUCCCUGUCAAGGGGACGAGGAGGCAUGGCAGCGUUUUACUCGGUUCUGAUUUAUUCUGGUAGCUGGGCGCAGCGCUACGGAGAACUCUGCACACAGUUACCGUAAGGGCAGCUCUUACAGAAGAUUUACCAGCUUAUUAAUGUGGAUCUGUCCUUGCAACGUUUUAGAAACGUUUCUUUCCUUAGGCAAAUGUUCCUGUCUACCUUUGUGAAGAGUGAUUUGCCAAGCGAAGGGAGCAAUUUCCUAUAGCAGGUAGUUUGACAAGGAAAACCGACGGUCUUAAAUAUCAAAGUGCAGUCAAACCGCAGUGAGAUUCAAAGGAGGGAGUGUUGGUACAUUUUGUUCCAGCGAACGAGCUAUAAAUAACAACCCCCACCCAUGUUGGAAGGGGGUUUGAUUUGCCCACGUGGAAGGGCCGGUAGGAAAUAGAAAUUAAAUUAUUAAUGUAAUCAAACAGAAAAAUCUGCCCGGAGACGUUGAGUGUAGCCGGGUUUUGUUCUGAAGUGUCGGCGACGUGAACAAGCCUGAGUGCGGAGCCGAGGCUCAGAGCGGGACCUGAUGCGCUGCUGGGAGCUUUAAUCUAAUUUUAUACCUUCCUCAGGGCGCACUGGAAUGAGUUUGAACACGGCCAUAAUACGCUGAACGGUGCAGAGAGGUGCAGUCCGGCGGCUCCCGCCGCUCUGCACGAGAAGCCAAACCUGAGCGCCUCAUUUUCUGUCCCACCUCCCCCACCCCCCCCAAAAAAAACCUCCUUCCGCAGUUGCACUUGUUUUUGCUUACCUGCGGAACGGGCUGUCUAACGAUGUCAGAGUUACUUUGACAUUCAUUUCUGACAUUAGUGUCAGUGUGGUGCACGCCGGCGAGGAAAAUGCUUAACAACGCAACUAUACUGCCCGCUUUGCUGAGAGAUUUGGUGCCAUCUUAGAGACUUGAGCGUCCUUACUGCGGAAAAAAACCGAGCGCCCGUACUUUAGAGGAAAGAAACCGUAACAAGAAAAAAAAGAGGGGGGAAGAAAGCAAACUGACCCCGCUUUUAGUCCCCUAGACACCUUAUCCGCAGGCAGGGAAGGAUUUCUCUUUCCCACGGCUGCAUUCCCGGAGCUAUCCCUUCCCUGUUCUCGCGGGGGGCGCG
ensembl:lncRNA